GGGUAUUCUCAGAAAUGGGGAGGAAUUGGGGAGUUUCACAAUGACAGAAACCUGGUAAAAGAUGGGAUUUUCUGAAGUCGUGCUGCAUAGGGAUAUAGACUGUCAGUCUUUUGAGCACUGAAAGCUAAUAUGGCCAUCAAUGACCAGAGAGCUCAUAGAUAGCCCGCUGACCAACCAAAAGCAUUGGGAGGACCAUUAUGGUUAUGGGGGGAGCUCACUCUGCACCAGGUACUAGUCUGAGAGAUUUACAUGGAAUAUCUUUUAUUUUUCAUAGAAACAGCACAGAAGAAGUAUUUGCUUACCCCAUUUUAUAGAUGAGGAAACUGAGGCACAGGGACUUUAUUCAGCUACUAGGUAGAAGAGCUAAGAUUGGAACUCAGCCAGUAGGACUCAAAACCAACAUUCUUAGGAUGUCACUUCGGGUCUAUUGAUCUCUGCUACCCUGAAGCUUCCAUCAGCUGGUCACAGACACCCCUCCAGGAGCCACCAGAAUGGAGCAACGGUUCUUCCCUCUAACAAUCUCUCAGUGCCGGGGCAGGGGCCUGUGGAG
rnacentral:lncRNA from 10 species